CAGGAACUGGUGCUCCUACGUGGUGACCCGGACCGUCUCCUGUCAUGUGCAGAAUGGCACCUACCUCCAGCGAGUGCUGCAGAGCUGCCCGUGGCCCGUGGGCUGCCCUGGGAACAGCUACAGAACCGUGGUGCGACCCAUGUACAAAGUGAUGUACAAGACAGUGACCGCUCGAGAAUGGAGGUGCUGCCCAGGACACUCGGGGGUGACCUGUGAGGAAGGCUCCCCUGGCUUCCUGGAGCCCACGUGGUCAGGCAGCAGCAUGCGGCGGAUGACAGUGAGGCCCACAGCCUUCUCAGGUUGUCUCAACUGCAGCAAAGUGUCUGAGCUGACAGAGAGGCUGAGGGCGCUGGAGGCCAAG
rnacentral:lncRNA from 1 species